rnacentral:misc_RNA from 1 species
GAUGAAGAACGUAGCGAAAUGCGAUAAGUAAUGUGAAUUGCAGAAUUCAGUGAAUCAUCGAAUCUUUGAACGCAUCUUGCACUCCUUGGUAUUCCGAGGAGCAUGCCUGUUUGAGUGUCAUUAAAUUCUCAACUACACUGAUUUUUUUUGGUUGGUGUAGAUUGGAUUUGGGGGAAUUUUUUGCGGGCUUUGUAAAAUGAAGUCGGCUCCCCUGAAAUUAAGCAUAUCAAUAAGCGGAGGA